GUUGACCGUUCAAGUGACAACCUGUGAAACUCCAUCAGUUCGUUUGCCGCUUAUCAGUAGGAAUUAUUAUUAUUUCAUUUAUUUGAAUGUUGUCAUUUGCCUGACACUUUUAUUUUGUGGCGUUAAAACAACAAUGGGACAAGUGUCGGCUGUUAAAGUGUGUGUUCGAGUCCGCCCGCUUAUUGCGAGAUCGAGUGUUCGCUGCUGAUGAAACAACCAAUCAUCUGUACCAGGACAUUGCAAAGCCUUUGGUUGUCGCCACUGUUGAGGGAUACAAUGGAACCAUAUUCACUGAUGGGCAGACUUCUUCUGGAAAGACUUUCACCAUGAUUGGGAGUGACCAUAUUCCUGGAGUGAUUCCAGGAGUACGAGAGUGAUAUCUGAUGACUCGCUGCACAAUGACUCCCGUCCUCAGCCAUAGGCUCAUGCCUCACAGCAUUUACAUAAAUGGGUCACAAGACUCCCAAGCUUUGCAUAAACCAGAAAGGACUCACAAGCGGGAAUGUUUCCUGUUUGUAGCAGAACAGGUUUCUUUCUUCUGUGACUGUGAGAAAAGGUAAGAGUGGAGAACAAUAUGAUGUUUAGUUUCUUCUUUAGAACUGCACUUUUUAAACAAGACAUACUUGACAUACCUUGUAAAUAAGUGAUUUUGACCUUUGUACCAACUUUGUAGUUAGUGACGGUCAGGUUGAUGUGUUACACCCAUGUCGGCGCUCACGCCUGCUGAGUGAGUAAGAUAAAGGAACAAGUCAAAACAACCAACAUGCUAAUGUGUGUUCACUUGUUACAAGUACACUGUGACUGAAACUGCGUCUUUACUCUCUCUCUCUGUGUGUGUGUGUGUCUUUAAGAAGCUGUGCACCUUUGAAUUCAUUUGUAUUGUUUUUAUUUUCACUUUAACAGCACAGACCGCCUCCCACUGUAACAUGGAUUCUUUCAAAGGGCCUUGCCCUCAUCGCAGCGUUCCUGUUGAGAUUGAUGAGAGAAUGACUUCCACCAGUCUGGACUUGGUCUUGCCGCCCAAUUGCCAAGAGUGCAGUGGACACACAGAGAGCAACAGCAACAGUCAGCAGCACUACGACUGUGAGCCGCUCAUACCAGAGAACCAGCAUGAAUCCAGAGUCCCUUCUCAUGCUGCUGCAGAACCUCGGAUCACACACUGUAGACAAAUGAGAGCCCCGCGACCUGCAGGUGUUUGGCCUUAUGGCCUCAGAGAGCACACACCGCUGUACGAGUCGCACAGCAUGGAGAACCACAGUAGAAACUGGUCUCAGGACUGGUCUCAGGACUGUUCUGCAGAACGUUUGGAGACCCCUCUCCCUCUCAUGUCUGACAUUGUCGCAUCGCAGUACCCUGUCGCCCACAUGCCUGUGCACAGCCCUAACCUGAGGCAGGGAGGUUCCCUCAGACCCUGUGCAUGCUGCCCUCCCAAAGGCCUGCGUCAUCAUCACAGUCACAACUCUCAUCAUCAUAAACGUGAUUAUCCAGCAGGUCCACACCAGCAGCAGUCCUGGAAUGCCUCCGCACUUAGAAAUGCUCCACAUGUGCCUCAGGAACCUCCGAGAGAUGUGAUGCAUGAGGUCAGUGUGAACUGCUCCUUCCAGGCAGGACCAGGAUCUGCCACAGGGGAGAUCAGGAAGACCAUCAGCCUCCCUGAGGAGUGCAGAAAUGUUUUCAUCACAUAUUCCGUGGACACAGCUGAGGAAAUCUUCCUUUUCACCAAGUUUCUGACAGAUCAGGGAUUCAAACCAGCGAUUGACAUCUUUGAUAAUCCAAUCCAAAGAAUGAGCAUCACUAAAUGGAUGGACAGAUAUUUAAAUGACAAGUCGGUGCUCAUCAUCGUGGUCAUUAGCCCCAAGUAUAAGGAGGAUGUAGAGGGAGCUGGUGACGACGACCACGGUCUGCACACUAAAUACAUUCACAAUCAGAUCCAGAAUGAGUUCAUCCAACAAGGCUGUCUGAACUUCAGACUGGUUCCUGUACUAUUCCCUAAUGCAACCAAGAGACAUGUCCCCACCUGGCUGCAGAGCACAAGGAUCUACCGCUGGCCCAGGGACACGCAGGACCUGCUGCUCCGUCUGCUCAGAGAGGAGCGCUAUGUCUUUCCACAGCGCGGGGCUGAGCUCACACUCACUGUCCGUCCUCUCUGAGCAGUGAUUUGAUCACGAGUGGCGUUCCUGCUACAGCGCAGUCACAUUUAUAACGGAGAGCAACACAGAACACUGACGUAACACUGUUGUCUUUAUCAUCUUUAUCAUGAACAGACCUAGAGCGAGGGGUCUUUUCAUGCACAACAACUCAAAAGCUUUGCUGGACAUCAGGACCUGCGAAAAUGUCCAUCUGACACUGGUCACAGGUCUCUGUCUCUAAAGAGCGCCACCUAGUGGUGAAAAGUGUUGUAUAUUUUUAUUAUAAAUCAAAUCGAACCAAA